UACGAAGGGGGCUAGCGUUGUUCGGAAUCACUGGGCGUAAAGGGCGCGUAGGCGGCUUUAUAAGUCGGGUGUGAAAGCCUGUGGCUCAACCACAGAAUUGCCUUCGAUACUGUAGAGCUUGAGACCGGAAGAGGUAAGUGGAACUGCGAGUGUAGAGGUGAAAUUCGUAGAUAUUCGCAAGAACACCAGUGGCGAAGGCGGCUCACUGGCCCGGUACUGACGCUGAGGUGCGAAAGCGUGGGGAGCAAACAGG
rnacentral:rRNA from 1 species